AGAGCGAACGCUGGCGGCAGGCCUAACACAUGCAAGUCGAGCGCCCGUAGCAAUACGGGAGCGGCAGACGGGAUAGUAACACGUGGGAACGCGCCCUUCGGUUCGGAAUAACUCAGGGAAACUUGAGCUAAUACCGAAUACGCCCUUACGGGGAAAGAUUUAUUGCCGAAGGAACGGCCCGCGUCCGAUUAGCUAGUUGGUGGGGUAACGGCCUACCAAGGCUUCGACGGGUAGCUGGUCUGAGAGGACGAUCAGCCGGAUUGGGACUGAGAUACGGCCCAGACUCCUACGGGGGGCAGCAAUUAGGAAUCUUGCGCAAUGGGCGAAAGCCUGACGCAGCGACGUCGCGUGGAGGAUGAAAUCUUUCGGGAUGUAAACUCCUUUUUCAGGGUAGAAACAAAUGACGGUACCUGAAGAAUAAGCCCGGACUAACUACGUGCCAGCAGCCGC
rnacentral:rRNA from 1 species